rnacentral:rRNA from 1 species
GUAAGGAAUAUUGGACAAUGGACGCAAGUCUGAUCCAGCCAUGCCGCGUGAAGGAUUAAGGUCCUCUGGAUUGUAAACUUCUUUUAUAAGGGACGAAAAAAGGCUUUUCUAAGUCGUCUGACGGUACCUUAUGAAUAAGCACCGGCUAACUCCGUGCCAGCAGCCGCGGUAAUACGGAGGGUGCAAGCGUUAUCCGGAUUCACUGGGUUUAAAGGGUGCGUAGGCGGGCAGGUAAGUCAGUGGUGAAAUCCUAGAGCUUAACUCUAGAACUGCCAUUGAUACUAUCUGUCUUGAAUAUUGUGGAGGUAAGCGGAAUAUGUCAUGUAGCGGUGAAAUGCUUAGAUAUGACAUAGAACACCUAUUGCGAAGGCAGCUUACUACGCAUAUAUUGACGCUGAGGCACGAAAGCGUGGGGAUCAAACAGGAUUAGAUACCCGGGUAGUCC